UUGUAUAACACAAUGACAUAGUUCUCUGGAUUAGGAUACAGGGAAGGAAGCAUCUAUUACAGACUUGGUUUAAAAAAGUCAGAAAAGGUAUCUGUGAAACUGUUUGGGUUCCAACAUAUACUGCUAAGCCUGGCCGACUGACCCUUACUCAACCUCAGUGAGACUAUAAAGUUUGAGACACAGUAAUUCAUCUUGUGUUCAACACAAGGUUUACCUAGAAAGAUUAAGUUCACUCGCUAAAAAGUUAUAAAGUAACUGAAUGUGAGCAAUUUUGGAUUAACACGAAACAAUGCUUUUCUUUCAGAACCACUUGGGGAGACAAAAUUAAGUCACAGUGGAAGACAAAAGCCGGGGCAACAGGAUGAAUGCAGCAGAAAGAGGAGCUGACCAGAGAGGAGCCUGCCAUUAAAUCACACAGUCAGUACCUCCUGCCUGACUCCACCGCUCGCCUUUUCUCUGCAACUUAUUUACCUGUGGCCUGACCUCCCGCGGGAACCUUCCUUACACCUCCAUCCCUGAUUACACAAAUAUGGAAUCCAUUCCUCUCAAGAUCAAGAGGACCAGCAGUCAGUCAACUCCCUGCUUCCUUAACAGGUGUCUGAGUAUGGACCCCUAAUUUCCACUGCUGGCUUGAUGGAGGAAGAGGGUCUGGACUCGCUCUCCCAUCACAACCACUAGAAAACUGAACAGAAGAGAUGAAACAGCUGUUUGCGGAUAUUUGACCACAGGUAGGGCAGGACCAUGACCCCUGCUGGACGGGACAUAGAUGAGCUGCACCCUAGCAGCCCUUUAGCUUUCUGCUGGAGGCGGUGUCUGGGUUGUGGCCCUGGAAGGGGAGCCCGACAGAGCCCUGCGGUCCCCCUAAGUUAAAGAGACUGAGCAGAGUUCCAGAAGACCAAGGUGGCUAUAUUACACAGGACACAGUUUCCAGAAUGAGAGCUCUUCCAGAGUUCUCAGCACGUAAGACAAAACAGAUCCAAAUCUAGUAGUAAAAAUUCUGAGUCAUGCAUUCAUGACGUGUCCAUGUUCUGUUUGUAGGUUCUGCCUUAACAAACAGUUUACCAAAAAAAAAAAAAAACCCACAUCAAAAUGAAGACAAAAUAACCCAAAUUGCAAGUCACUAGAGAUAAAGAGAAGAUUAAGAAGAGCAGGGACAUCAGACCCCCAAAACAACAACAUAAUGGGGUGUCUUCAAAUUCGAAGGUAAAUUUCACCUUGGAUUUCUACAUACACCCAAACUAUCCAUCAAGUUUGAAUGCAAAACCAAAAAUAUUGGCAGAUACGCUAACUCUCAAGAAAUUAACAACUUCGACAUUCUUUCUCAGGAAGCUACUUGGAGGAUGUGCUCCUCCAAAAUAAGAAAGUGGAACAAGAAAGAAGACAUGGGAUCUCGGAAACAGGGAAUCCGACGCAGGCAGGAAGGCAAAGAGUUUCCAGAAUGAUGGCUAUCCAGAGGCUGAGACAGCAAUUCACCUAGAUUAGAGCAGGAAGGAGGGCUGCAGGAACUAAAAUCCUACCUUCCAUAAUGUCCAGAAGUGAUGAAUAAAAAGCAGCGGACGUGCCUCUUCCAGCAUUAUGGAGGCACAUUCCAGAAAGAAGAGUGAAAACAGCUGAAAACGAUCACGUCAGGGGAGUGGGGAGCGGGUGAGGUGGAAGACACUCGGGCAACAAAGUGCUCGCAGGGUUGCCUUUCUGCACUGCUUGACAGUUUAAACCAGAUGAAUGAAUUACUCGGGAUGAAAAUGCAAUGUAAUUUUCAACAUGUGAGUACAUAAACAAGUACACACCUGAAGGUCAGGCCGGAGAGCUGUGUCUCUAACCUCAAUCACACUGGCCCCACAAAACGACCUUUCUUAUUAGAACUGAGCUUCGGGCCAAUGUCAUCAGCCAACACUGAGUCAUUUUAGGAAGAAUUCUCUGAUAAUGGUGACUGCAUCUAUUGUGAGGAGUUGUCAGGGAGAUUGUUCAUUAACCACACAGUGCCCUCUGUCUCAGGGCCCCCAUGAGAAAUGCCUGAAUGAUCUUCAUUCUGAGAUUACUCGGGCAGCUUCUGGCUAACUGGAUUGAAAGGGUCUCCAAGCUAGGAAGCACAGAGCCCAGUUUGUCACCCACCCACAGCAGGUUUUAGGUCUCUUGAACACCUAUGCUUCUUUCUUAGCUUAAUUCUUGUUCAUCUCCUCCCUACCUUGACUCCUUGUUCACCUCUCCUGCCUUCAAACACACUUUAAAUCUGUGCUAUCCUGUGUUUUAUGUUUCCUUGUAAGUUACUGCCUUAGACCUUUCUGGAAAGUGGCAGGGGGGUGGGGAGAUGGACGGACAGAUGGGGAAUCUGGCAACUUGCUUUCAAAGACAAUUCUGUUAAGGUUUGGAAGGUCCUACACCAAAACAGCAGCUUUCGGUCCUACACCGAAACUGGUAACAGCAGCUCCCUGGGAAAGGGAGAGAUAGGGAUCAACAGGGACCUCCAGUUUGUAAUGGUCUGAUUUUUUUUUAUAAUGUGAGUACAGUUAUGCAUUAUGUAUGAUUAAAAUUAAUUUUUAAGUGUAUUUAUUUAUUUUGAGAGAGAAAGAGAACCAGUAGGAGAGGGG